AGGAACUGCUUGUGAGUCGAGAUCUUCUGCCUCAUCCUCUUGUCUCUGUGAUCCUCAUUCCCAGGAGCACCCACUGUGAAAUGGAUGGCUUCAGGGAUGACAUGCAUGAUUAGGAUGAAUGAAUCUUCAGGUCAGACUUCCAUCCCUGUGGGACUUGCUGCUCCAUUCACAGAUGGACAGCAGGUCUUGGGAUCCUGCCCUUAAAACCCCUUUCUCCUCCCAGAUCAACAGACUCUGCAGAUCCCGGGGGUCCUAUAAGUGCUGGACCAUAGAUCCGGUGUCUGAGCUCUGGGAAUCGGAGUUUACACUCCUCUCCUAGCCACAGAACAGUGACUAAAGCAGGCCUGGCCGAGGAGAUGAAAAUCUCAAGUUUGAAGUCAAGAUCACUACCCUUGAAGGAUUUAAGGAGACGACAGACCGUGGAGACAACACUGUGGCCAACACAGGCAACAAUCCUGAACCACCAGGUUCAACAAUAAGACCAGAAGUGGAAGCAUUCGUUAAAGAAGAACCAGAGAGGGAGAGGCUACAGGUCCUAUCUGGCCCAGGUGUGCAGGACGGAGAUGUUGUCCUCACAGAGGAUGCAUCCCGCCAUCCUCCGCCCUGAGUUUUCGGAUCAGUCCUUCCUUUGACUCUAGGAUCUUGUGGGCAGGUGCCAAGUCCACGACUGAUGGAGGAAGAAAAGGGGAAGGGAGAGGACGGGUGUCCUUUCUGACAUCUAGCAGCCAGUUCCCUUGCCGGCCAAAAGGCUUUGGGAGGCUACUGGAGGUUCCAGAGAUGGGCAUCUCUUGUCCUUCU